CGAGCUUCUGGUGCAACACAGCAGUAAAUGCUGGCCUAUCGGUUAAUUUUACGAUCGGAUCGUGUGACUGCUACAGUCGUGGUGGAGAGACGCGUGAGUUGCGUCCACCGUGCAGUACAGUGCCUCCAGUCUUGGGGGUUUGAUUGCUGCCGCACCCUCUCAGGGAUCAACUGCCUGAUUUUAAGCAAAGAGUUGAGACACCUGCCUAGCUGCUGUCUUGUCUUGCCUUGUUUUAUCUUGUGUUCCGAUCUGUUGGCUGUCCAAUUUUGUUCCUGCUGCUUGUCUCGCCUCGCCCCUGGGGGCUUUGGGUCUCACGCUAAGCCCCUUUUGGACUAUCGUUUCACUCCAGCUUUCGCGGCUGGUCGGGGCGAUCCUCAACUGCAUAUUGGGCUGGUGUUACAAGACUGGUACUGCCUCUCCCUUUUCUCUCAGUUGUGGAGAGCUGCGCGAGACUGAGUGGGGCUACGAACAAUCGGAACCAGCACCAGCUGUGGGCUGGCUCACAGAGUACAAGUACUUCCAAUCUGUGCUCUGUGGUGUGUAUGUGGGUGUGUUUUAUUGCAGACCUCCGUUUUUCUUUUAAUUUCUUUUUUAGUAUAUAGAGAGCCUGUUUUAUGUCCCAUGUUUUUACCCUUUUAAUGUGUAUGUCUUGUGCUUUUAUUUCAGCGAACUGAGGAUCUACCAGCGGCCGUGGAACCUUAGGUGGCGGGUCGUUUUCCACACUUCUUUUGUUGUACAGCACCAGGUGAAUAGACUAUAGUGGGUUUUUUGUGUGGUUUUCUUUUGGUCCACCGCUGCUGGUAAGUCCCAGUUGUGUGUUUAUUUUUUAUUGUAAUUUGGGACACCGUUUUAGACAUUCAGUGCGCUGUCAUUGUUGUUUUGUUUUUAUUUUACAUUAAUAAAUAAAAUUGUUAAUAUUUGAGUCGGCCUCAGUGUGCAUCCCUGAACCUGUGCAAAUGUUGUUUUAAUUACAUUUCAUUUUUAAAGUUCAUAUUUCCUGGGGGCUAGAAUUCCCCCUCAGGUGGCGUUGUCAUUUUAUUAUUUCUUUUAUAACCCCGCCGACCA